UUCCGUAGGGGAACCUGCGGAAGGAUCAUUA
rnacentral:ncRNA from 6 species